GGUUUUGGUUCUCUUGGGCCCUGAGGGGAACAGGAGAGUCAGGUAUCUCUCGGAGGGCCUCUGAGGAAGAUGGUGUGGCAAUCACCACGCUGAAGGUGGCAGAAGGCUGUGCCUGGAGCUGGCCUGAAGGCUCGGGGUGAAGCUCUUGGAGAUUGCCGUGUUGUGCCCUGCUCCCUUCCUCAAUGACUAGCUUCAGGAUUUUGCUGAAGGUUCCUUUCAUCUGAACACUAGGAUCUGCCCACUCCAGCCCAGGAUGGAGGUACAGAGUACCACAGAUGGAAAGAAGGGCUGUGAGCCAGUGCACCUCCCCUCGCUCCGCUGGACGUGUGCUGACGCAGGCGAGCUGAGCCUCUGCCCCGCAGGAUAUGGCUUCCUCAGCUUUGGCAGCACCUACAUGUCCUGGUUUCCUGUCAGAACGGGUCUGCUCAGAGCUGAAAAGUGCCUGCUCAGCACUUCGGUGCAGCUGACACAGCUCAGCUGCCUUUUCCCACAGAGCCUGGAGCCCCUGCUCCCUGGGGCUGUGUUCGAGGAAUCACACGCCUCAGGGGACCAGACCAGCUGUGUGUGUGUACUUCAGUGCAUACAGGGAUGUAGUAACAUCGGCCACGACCUGGGGUUGUUUCAGCUGUGCUGUAGCACUGGGAGAAUGUCAGUGCAGGUGGACUGGGGUGGGCUGACUGCUGGCUUUCAUAUGUGAUUGCUAAGGGGAGUUGUGCCUCUGCUGAGUGAUGGAUGAAGUUUGCUAGCAAUAAACUGCCUCUCUGAACUUCUCCUCUGUACCUGGACUGAUCGGGGCAGCUGCAGCCUCUAACCCUCCCACGCCUCCUGCAAGGAUGCUGCCUGCCUGCCUGAACCUUACAGCCGAGAUAAUUAUAGCCAGGUCUGCUAAGGAUCCAGCAGCAGGUAGCUCCCAUGGCCCAUGGAAUCUUAAUUAUAAAUGUUCGGUGAUUAGAGAUGGAUAAAAUCCAGACUGAUUUGGUGUUGCCAAGCAUGGAUGGAGUUUGGAUCUGUAUCCAGACUUUCCCAUCCCUUUAAUGGGCAAAAUUAGCUUUGAAUUGUAAUAGUCCAGAGCUGCUGAAUAACAUGGUUUGGGAUUAAAAAUUCUGCUCCUGUAUUUUCCCCUGGCUACUUUGUGGACUGCCAUAUGGGAAGUACAGUUUUGUGGCUCCAGCUCUGCAUCAACAGGACAAGCACUACUGUAAGAGCACCUGUGUCUUUUUUUUUUUUUUUUUUUUCCAGAGUUAUGAGUGAUACUGAUGUACCUGGGUAGGAUCUGAUUUUUUUGGGGAGAGAUGUUUCCUGGAGAGGUGAAAUCCUAUCCUUAAAAUUUGAUGCUGCAACAAGCAUUUUUUUUCCAUUUUUUUUCCAUUCAAAUGAGACCACAUUAUUUAGUCUCCAGGGAACUUCCUUUUGUAACGACUUUUAUGAUUAUGUUUGGGACUGCACAAGAGGAAGGGGGAUUUGUUAUGUUUUUCUUAGCUCUUGCUUCAAGUUUGGUCAUUCCAAUUUGCAAGGCACUACUAAUCCCCCCAAACAUGAGACUUUGGGAUAUUUCGCAAGUGUUAAGAGCUUCUGUCAUGUGAGACAUCCCCUGUAUUCUCUGCUUCCUUAGAUGUGUGCAAGAUGUUGAAAUCUGAUUAAGUCUUAUUGUGUCUUACUGUGCAUCAUCAUGCACAAAGGCACAGCCUCAGCUUCAUAUAACUGUAGAUAAGAGCACCAUUUAAGGCUCGUUAAAAAGUCUAUUACAUUUCCAUCUCUGCUCUCCAAAUAUAUUAAAGUGUUAGCUUUUAGCUGUCCUUAUUUCUGGCAGUAGGUGAGCAAAUGUCACGCUAAGAUGGAUUUCAAAGCCU